AGUGAACGCUGGCGGUAGGCCUAACACAUGCAAGUCGAACGGCAGCACAGUAAGAGCUUGCUCUUACGGGUGGCGAGUGGCGGACGGGUGAGGAAUACAUCGGAAUCUACUUUUUCGUGGGGGAUAACGUAGGGAAACUUACGCUAAUACAGCAUACGACCUACGGGUGAAAGCAGGGGAUCUUCGGACCUUGCGCGAUUGAAUGAGCCGAUGUCGGAUUAGCUAGUUGGCGGGGUAAAGGCCCACCAAGGCGACGAUCCGUAGCUGGUCUGAGCGGAUGAUCAGCGACACUGGAACUGAGACACGGUCCAGACUCCUACGGGAGGCAGCAGUGGGGAAUAUUGGACAAUGGGCGCAAGCCUGAUCCAGCCAUACCGCGUGGGUGAAGAAGGCCUUCGGGUUGUAAAGCCCUUUUGUUAGGAAAGAAAAGCAGCAGGUUAAUACCACGCUGUUCUGACGGUACCCAAAGAAUAAGCACCGGCUAACUUCGUG
rnacentral:rRNA from 1 species